UGGGUGGUACAAUGGCCAUGGCACAGUGGU
rnacentral:piRNA from 1 species